AUUGAACGCUGGCGGCAUGCUUUACACAUGCAAGUCGAACGGUAACAGGCCUUCGGGCGCUGACGAGUGGCGAACGGGUGAGUAAUGCAUCGGAACGUGCCCAGUCGUGGGGGAUAACGUAGCGAAAGUUACGCUAAUACCGCAUACGAUCCAAGGAUGAAAGCAGGGGAUCGCAAGACCUUGUGCUCCUGGAGCGGCCGAUAUCUGAUUAGCUAGUUGGUGAGGUAAAGGCUCACCAAGGCAACGAUCAGUAGCUGGUCUGAGAGGACGACCAGCCACACUGGAACUGAGACACGGUCCAGACUCCUACGGGAGGCAGCAGUGGGGAAUUUUGGACAAUGGGGGCAACCCUGAUCCAGCAAUGCCGCGUGAGUGAAGAAGGCCUUCGGGUUGUAAAGCUCUUUUGUCAGGGAAGAAAAGGUCGUGGCUAAUAUCCACGACUGCUGACGGUACCUGAAGAAUAAGCACCGGCUAACUACGUGCCAGCAGCCGCCGUAAUAC
rnacentral:rRNA from 1 species